AUCUUAUUGAUAAGUUAGAAAAGCGCCACUUAUUCUUUUUAAACUCCUAAGUUAGCAUUUCACUUGAUUUUCUUUGUCUGGUCUGCCAUCAGUAGAACUCUGUAGAGGUUUGCUGCGUCUUUUCCCCCCAUUCUUCGCUCCCAUUAGAUGCCUGCAGACAUUGAGCAACCCCGCGUGCCCUCAGUGGAAGUCGUGACCCACUCCACACCUGCAACACCAUUUGCAACAACAACAACAGGACCAUAAGCAGAGACAGCAUAAGCCAGCACCGCCUCAACUAUCUGUCUACCACUUCCUCGGAAUGCAGGCUCCAGUGAUGACGAUCAGUGGUGGCGAUGGGAUUAUUGAGCUGUCCGUUAUCCAAGAUGCCGCCUAGAUUCGUGUCAAAGGGCAAUUAUGAGCAGAGUUCUGGCAGGUGGAAACUGAUACCGUCUAAAUGGGUUUUAUAAGGUAAUCACUUGUUACCUAAGCUUCAAGGUCUGUUCCACACUAGGAAUGAAGAGGUAACAGAUUGGGAACCUGGAGUGGCCUGCUUCCUAGGGCACAUGCUGUGAGUCUCAUCUCUUUGAUUAUACAAAGGAGUCUCAAGGAAAGGCUCUUCCCCACUCCUUGAUAACUCUCACCUGGCUACCUCCUUUUGCAGUUAGCCAGCUUGCCAACCUCUCUCGCUGACCGCCGCGAAUGGCUACCGAAUUUGUAUAAAGUUCAUUGAUACUCCUUGUUGGGUCCACAGAUAAUAAAAUUUUUCUUAGGGUUUGGCA
rnacentral:lncRNA from 1 species